UACGAAGGGGGCUAGCGUUGUUCGGAAUUACUGGGCGUAAAGCGCACGUAGGCGGAUAUUUAAGUCGGGGGUGAAAUCCCGGGGCUCAACUCCGGAACUGCCUUCGAUACUGGGUAUCUUGAGUUCGGAAGAGGUGAGUGGAAUUGCGAGUGUAGAGGUGAAAUUCGUAGAUAUUCGCAGGAACACCAGUGGCGAAGGCGGCUCACUGGUCCGAUACUGACGCUGAGGUGCGAAAGCGUGGGGAGCAAACAGG
rnacentral:rRNA from 1 species